AAACAACACAAGAUAACUAAAAAGUGGAUGUUUCUGAGUCACAAGCACUGAUCACAGAUGGAUGGUUGUAGUGUUACGCUCUAGCUUACUGGUUUCAGCUUACUGUUUGACAUUUGCUCUGUGAAGAGCUGCCAUUGCAUAUGGAGUAUUACUGAAACCUUGGAUUAAAACCAGUACUUGCAAAACAGUGCUGAUUUUAGAAGAUCCAGUUUAAAGGAGAGAAAAAAACAGAGCCUGAAACCUAGACUUCUGUAAAAUAGAUCAUUACAGCAGUCCCAAAACAGACUUUGGAAGCUGUAUCACAGGUACAAGGAGAACAGGCAAGUAGAGGCUUCAUGAUUUAGGACACCGCAACAAACCAGGAAGGAAAUCAGCUCAUCAGUCAUGGCCAGCAUGGUGAGCCACAGGAAGUCAACUUAUAUUCAGAUCACGUCUUACCUCUUCUAUAUAAUCAAAAGCAUUAAAAACAUGACUUCUUCUAGAAAGAAAAACUCUCUGGACUUUGUGUUACAAC